rnacentral:tRNA from 1 species
GCCCCUGUAGCUCAGCUGGAUAGAGCAGAGGUUUCCUAAACCUCGUGUCGGGGGUUCGACUCCUCCCAGGGGCA